rnacentral:sRNA from 1 species
CGAUCUGCUGCGGACAAAUGAAAUGGAUAUGCGCAUCAAACCCGCCCGCUGUCAGGAUUUUCCCUUCCCCCGCAAUGACUUCGGUGCCCGGCCCGAUGAUGAUAUCGACGCCCGAUUGCGUAUCCGGAUUGCCCGCCUUGCCAAUCGCCGCGAUCAUCCCGUCGCGCAGCCCCACAUCGGCCUUGUAGAUGCCCGUGUGAUCCACGAUCAGCGCAUUGGUAAUCACCGUAUCCACCGCCCCGCCCGCGCGAGACACCUGACUUUGCCCCAUCCCGUCGCG